AUAUAUAACUAAAAGCUAUGCCAUUUGCAUCAUCUUGUAGCCUGGUAUAAAUUUAUGAACUAGAUGUAUUGCCAGUUAUAAUGGCAUCAGUUUUAGAUUGAAAGACUUACUUUUAUAAAUAAGAUAUACUCAUAUUGAAAACUUGCAAACGUGUAAACUUUCCGAAGUUUGUUCGGAAUUCAAAUUAAAAAUCAACGUAACUCGAUACGAGCAAUGAGAUAAGCAUAUAAUACACAAGCUGAGCGUAUGAGUCUGUUGAGAAACGUGAAAAUAUUGUUGGCCAUUAUCUAGAAGUUUGAUUGAUUGAGAUAACUGAAAAUGUUUUGGUAAAUUCGAAAGCUCAAGAAUUACACAUUUGUAAUCAAGUACGAGAACUAUUUGCCGAAGUACUGUUAAAAAUAUUAAGAAAUUAUGGAAAUAAUUUAUUACAGAGUUCAGUUAUCAUCACCGUCUUCGUCAUCAUCCGAGAUAUAUUUUUUCGUCACUCGUUUUCUGCGUCCCCCACGGUUCUCCCCGCUUCUCUUACCUUUAUAUUUUAUUUUCAUUCUCACACUCGAAUCACCAUCGGAACCAUCUUCGCCAUCACCUGUGAUAAUAAAUUGAUCAAGAAUACAGAUGAGUUUAAGUUUGAAUGCGAGAAUAGAUCAAACCUUUGUCAUCCCCAUCUGAAUUGGUCCCAUCUGCACAGGACCACCUGGACCCAUGUGCGGCCCACUCUGAGCACUGUUUCCACCCAUCUGACUUGGACCACCAGGUCCCAUUGAUCCUCCUGAACCUUGUUGAGACACUGAACCUGGACCGCCUU
rnacentral:misc_RNA from 1 species